GCGCGGGUGGCGAAAUUGGUAGACGCACCAGGUUUAGGUCCUGACGGUGGCGACACCGUGGGGGUUCGAGUCCCCCCCCGCGCA
rnacentral:tRNA from 1 species